rnacentral:lncRNA from 1 species
CAGGAACAGCAGCUCCGGGGCAGGAACAUGCAAGGAACAGCAAGGAGAAGGCUUCCUGCUGCAAAGGGAUCGCACAAAACCGGGGCGGACCAUCCGAUCCUGUCUUAGUACAAAAAUGACGUGGACAUGCCGGGUACACUGAGCGCGGCCCCCGGAAGGCAGCUGAGCAUCCGCACUGAACACCGCCGGCCCGCGUCUGGUGGGAGGGAUCGCAGCAGACUGAGCUGGCGUCCACGUGAAGGAUGGACUGGAGAAGGCGGGGAGGCGGCUGCGGAGUCAGGCCAGAAGCACCAGGGCAGCUGAAGAAAAGCCAGCAUCUUUGCUGUGCCAGGCCCAGGAGAUGAACGCGCAGCCUGCAUUCAAGUUCACGGUCUGGGAGACAAGACUUUUCCUGUGUGUCAGCUGAAUCUUCCCAGGCAGCCGAGAGCCCUCCCAAGGGGCAGAGGCUGCUUCCUGCUUUUCCUGCAGCCAGGGGGUGGUGACCUCCUGGGGGUGGUGACCUCCUGGUCCUUCUUCCAGGAGUUGAUGCUGCUGACUCUCGCCUCCAUUGUGGGUUGUGACCUCCUGGUCCUUCCUCCAGGAGUUGAUGCUGCUGACUCUUGC